rnacentral:rRNA from 1 species
GUCGAGCGGAGUUGACGAGAAGCUUGCUUCUUUGAUGCUUAGCGGCGGACGGGUGAGUAACACGUAGGCAACCUGCCCUCAAGCUUGGGACAACUACCGGAAACGGUAGCUAAUACCGAAUACAUGAUUUGUUCGCCUGAACGAAUUUGGAAAGACGGAGCAAUCUGUCACUUGAGGAUGGGCCUGCGGCGCAUUAGCUAGUUGGUGAGGUAACGGCUCACCAAGGCGACGAUGCGUAGCCGACCUGAGAGGGUGAUCGGCCACACUGGGACUGAGACACGGCCCAGACUCCUACGGGAGGCAGCAGUAGGGAAUCUUCCGCAAUGGGCGCAAGUCUGACGGAGCAACGCCGCGUGAGUGAUGAAGGUUUUCGGAUCGUAAAGCUCUGUUGCCAGGGAAGAACGUCUGAUAGAGUAACUGCUAUCGGAGUGACGGUACCUGAGAAGAAAGCCCCGGCUAACUACGUGCCAGCAGCCGCGGUAAUACGUAGGGGGCAAGCGUUGUCCGGAAUUAUUGGGCGUAAAGCGCGCGCAGGCGGCUUUUUAAGUCCGGUGUCACAGCCCAAGGCUCAACCUUGGGUCGCACUGGAAACUG